rnacentral:rRNA from 1 species
UACGUAGGGUGCAAGCGUUAAUCGGAAUUACUGGGCGUAAAGCGUGCGCAGGCGGUUAUGUAAGACAGUUGUGAAAUCCCCGGGCUCAACCUGGGAAUUGCAUCUGUGACUGCAUAGCUAGAGUACGGUAGAGGGGAUGGAAUUCCGCGUGUAGCAGUGAAAUGCGUAGAUAUGCGGAGGAACACCGAUGGCGAAGGCAAUCCCCUGGACCUGUACUGACGCUCAUGCACGAAAGCGUGGGGAGCAAACAGG